rnacentral:rRNA from 1 species
UAGGGAAUAUUGCACAAUGGGCGAAAGCCUGAUGCAGCAACGCCGCGUGCACGAUGAAGGCCUUCGGGUCGUAAAGUGCUUUUCGGGGAGAUGAGAAAGGACAGUAUCCCCGGAAUAAGGAUCGGCUAACUACGUGCCAGCAGCCGCGGUAAAACGUAGGAUCCGAGCGUUAUCCGAAUUUACUGGGCGUAAAGCGCGUGUAGGCGGUUCGGUAAGUUGGAUGUGAAAUCUCCUGGCUCAACUGGGAGAGGUCGUUCAAUACUGUCGGACUAGAGGGUGGUAGAGGGAGGUGGAAUUCCCGGUGUAGUGGUGAAAUGCGUAGAUAUCGGGAGGAACACCAGUGGCGAAAGCGGCCUCCUAGACCGCUCCUGACGCUCAGACGCGAAAGCUAGGGGAGCAAACGGGAUUAGAAACCCCGGUAGUCCUAGCUGUAAACGAUGUGAACUUGGCGUUGGUGGGUAAAAGCCAUCAGUGCCGAAGCUAACGCGAUAAGUUCACCGCCUGGGGACUACGGCCGACG